GUUAGAGAGGUUUAAUAACAUGCUGGUCCAUCAACAUAGUGUUAGAGAGGUUUAAUAACAUGCUGGUCCAUCAACAUAGUGUUAGAGAGGUUUAAUAACAUGCUGGUCCAUCAACAUAGUGUUAGAGAGGUUUAAUAACAUGCUGGUCCAUCAACAUAGUGGUAGAGAGGUUUAAUAACAUGCUGGUCCAUCAACAUAGUGUUAGAGAGGUUUAAUAACAUGCUGGUCCAUCAACAUAGUGUUAGAGAGGUUUAAUAACAUGCUGGUCCAUCAACAUAGUGGUAGAGAGGUUUAAUAACAUGCUGGUCCAACAACAUAGUGUUAGAGAGGUUUAAUAACAUGCUGGUCCAUCAACAUAGUGGUAGAGAGGUUUAAUAACAUGCUGGUCCAUCAACAUAGUGUUAGAGAGGUUUAAUAACAUGCUGGUCCAUCAACAUAGUGUUAGAGAGGUUUAAUAACAUGCUGGUCCAUCAACAUAGUGUUAGAGAGGUUUAAUAACAUGCUGGUCCAUCAACAUAGUGUUAGAGAGGUUU